AAUGAUCGAAAGAUUGACGCAGCGACGCCGCGUGGACGAUGAAGGUUUUCGGAUCGUAAAGUCCUUUCAGCGAGAAAGAAUGUAUUUAGGAGUAACUGUCUAAGUAUUGACGGUACUCGCAGAAGCAGCCCCGGCUAACUCCGUGCCAGCAGCCGCGGUAAUACGUAGGUGGCAAGCGUUGUCCGGAAUUACUGGGUGUAAAGGGCGCGUAGGCGGUCCUGUAAGCCCGGCGUGAAAACCUGGAGCUCAACUCCGGGCCUGCGCUGGGAACUGCGGGACUAGAGUCAUGGAAGGGAAGUUGGAAUUCCAGGUGUAGCGGUGAAAUCUGUAGAUAUCUGGAAGAACACCGGUGGCGAAGGCGAGCUUCUGGCCAAUGACUGACGCUGAGGCGCGAAAGUGCGGGGAGCAAA
rnacentral:rRNA from 1 species